CGUAGGUGGCAAGCGUUGUCCGGAAUUACUGGGUGUAAAGGGCGUGUAGGCGGGGUGGCAAGUCAGAUGUGAAAUACCGUGGCUUAACUACGGGGUGCAUCUGAAACUGCUGCUCUUGAGUGUCGGAGAGGAAAGUGGAAUUCCCAGUGUAGCGGUGAAAUGCGUAGAGAUUGGGAGGAACACCAGUGGCGAAGGCGGCUUUCUGGACGAUAACUGACGCUGAGGCGCGAAAGCGUGGGUAGCAAACAGGAUU
rnacentral:rRNA from 1 species